CGGUCUCUGCUCGCUUCGGCGGCUUCAGCCCGGCCUGACUGGUGCCCGCUGCGUCGGGAGCAGCCCCGAGCGCACGCGCCUGGGCGUCAGCUGGACCACCCACGGUGAGGGUGAAGGACUCAUUUCAAACUGUGCUGAGAAGGGUUGUGCUGGCCACUAAACCCAGGCUUGGUGGUGAGAGACUUCAAAACAGGAGCCGAGGAAAGGAGAAAUUCAACCCAGAAUUUGAGUUACUCGCCUGUCUAAACGGGAAACCGGACAACCAGACCGACUGCCUCAACCACCUGAAAUCCGCGUCCUUGACCCAAACAAAGACAGGACCUCACAGAAGCGAACUGCAGUGUCCCAAAUCGAACAGCAGAGGGAAACAGAGGUACAAGAAGCUCUGGAUCAGGU